rnacentral:rRNA from 1 species
ACGGCAGCACAGGAGAGCUUGCUCUCUGGGUGGCGAGUGGCGGACGGGUGAGGAAUACAUCGGAAUCUACUUUUUCGUGGGGGAUAACGUAGGGAAACUUACGCUAAUACCGCAUACGACCUACGGGUGAAAGCAGGGGAUCUUCGGACCUUGCGCGAUUGAAUGAGCCGAUGUCGGAUUAGCUAGUUGGCGGGGUAAAGGCCCACCAAGGCGACGAUCCGUAGCUGGUCUGAGAGGAUGAUCAGCCACACUGGAACUGAGACACGGUCCAGACUCCUACGGGAGGCAGCAGUGGGGAAUAUUGGACAAUGGGCGCAAGCCUGAUCCAGCCAUACCGCGUGGGUGAAGAAGGCCUUCGGGUUGUAAAGCCCUUUUGUUGGGAAAGAAAUCCAGCUGGUUAAUACCCGGUUGGGAUGACGGUACCCAAAGAAUAAGCACCGGCUAACUUCGUGCCAGCAGCCGCGGUAAUACGAAGGGUGCAAGCGUUACUCGGAAUUACUGGGCGUAAAGCGUGCGUAGGUGGUCGUUUAAGUCCGUUGUGAAAGCCCUGGGCUCAACCCUGGGAACUGCAGUGGAUACUGGGCGACGUAGAAUGUGGUAGAGGGU